CCCCGAAUUCAGUCGCGCAAACCUCCGGCUGGAGGCGGAACCGGAUCAAACCGGGCGCAAGAGGUGGAGUCGCGGAGUAGGUGAAGGGGGGCGAUGGAGGCGCUGCUGGAGCUCGAGAAGGUGCAGAGGGUGAUCUCCCUCAUGAGUUCCCGCGGCCUCUCCGACUCCGGUGGCGGGGGCGCUGCUGCCGACCGCUUCCUUGCCCAAUUCCUCCUCUUCCUGGUCCAACCGUUUGAUUCACUUAGCAUGGAGAAGAGGUUCCUAUUGGUCUCAGAGCUAUUAAGAAAGGUGACUCCUGAUACUAUGGAAGAAGUGUGGCAUCUCACCAGUCCGGAAGCUGAUCAAGAUAUAUCUUCUGGAGCUUUACUCCAGCCAAAUAAGAAGUUCAAGAUGCAUGCCAAGAAAUUAACUAUCCAAGCUCCGCCUAUGGUUGGUUUUGAUGCGACGACAAGAGCUAACUCCACGCUUGAAGAUUUUUGCAGGUCGUACUUUAUGUUUCAUGGUUUGGAUGUUAACAACCCACAAUCAAUUUUCAAGUAUCUACCUGUUCUUUCUUUCACAGAGAGCUACAUAUAUCAGUUAGAUGCUUCAAAUGAAGACUGUUUGCAUCUAGUCCCAGACAACAGCACUUCUUCAAAAGAGGUGGUAAGGAAAAAAGAAGCUCUCAAUGAAACAUCCUGGUCUCAAACGAUUGGCCCCCUUGACAAUCUUCUCCAGCGUCAAGGAUUAAUGACAGAUCGCUUGCGAACUGAACUCAAAUCAGGCAUUCAUUAUUGGUCUUUAGAGAGGAAGCUUUGUCAAGCAUUACUAAGAAAUGAAAAGAUCUCAAUUGAAGAUGUGAUGAAAGCAAUCCAUCUCAAAUCAUUUGAUUAUCGAGUUCUUAAUCUGUUGAUGUAUCAGCUUACUGGUCAGCAGGUCAAUGAAUUGCAUAUGGACUUCUUGUCAAUUUCAGAAUUUUUGGUUGAGAUAUCUGAUGACCUGUAUGAUUAUGAGGAUGAUGUGAUGAACAAUACUUUUAACAUCCUUCGCAUGUUUACUGCGAUAUAUGGACCUUCAGAGGCACCAAAUUUGCUGGAAGAGUUCUUCUUGGAGGGUAGGAUGGUGAAGCUUUUAUCACUUGAGCUUGACUCGUCAUCGUCGUUCACCCAUCUUAUUAAGCUUGCAAAUGCUUUAGCUCUUUUCUUUUUAUCUCUUAUUCUUGUUCUUCUUCUACUUCUUGAUGUGAUCAAUUGUGUUGAUCAAAUCUUUAAUAUAGAUAGAUUGAUCAAUCUUGAUAUUAAUCCUUUUUAUAUUCUUCUCUUUCUUUGAGAUGAGCUUGGUCAUCUUUGGAUCAAUUUUAUCAUCACUUGAUGUGUUUUAAUCAUUCUCUCCAUCACUCUCUUCAUUUUGAUCACCAUCAUUUUCACUUGAGCUCGACUUUUACUCUUGCCUCCUCAUCUUCGUCUUCAUGUGUGAGUAUUGAGCUUGCUUGUUUGUGAGGGUAAAAUUCUUGGCGUUGGAUGAGAUGAGGGAGACUAUCAACUUAUACUUUGGAAGAAGAGUUUAAAAUAUUCUUCUCACCACUUAAUCAUCUUCAACUGGCAUCAAACAUAACCUAAUGAUCUCAUUGACAAGAAUAUUCAAACGUCUCAUCCUUUCCUCAGUGAUCCGCUAAACAUUUUGAUCCUUGACUUGCAAAUAACAAGAUAUUAGAAUUUUUCAACAGGAGAAAUUUAUGCCAUCGAAAAGUGGAGCACUAUAGGCCAAGUGCAUAGGUGAGGCUGAAGAGAGAUAUGAGAGCUUCUCAAAGAAAUUGGACCCUAGUCUAUCAGGUAGUUACUGGAGAAGAUGUGAGGAAGCUACAAAGGAAG